rnacentral:lncRNA from 1 species
AUCACCCAAAUACAUGCACCACGAGGGAUAUUCAGCAGCUUCAAGGAAACUCAUGGGGCAGCCACUGCACUAUGAGAAAUCGUAGAAAAUAAAUAAAAGUGUGGUCUACAUACACGAGUAAUAUCAGAAAUAUGUUGAGUCCAAUGGCAGCUGCUACUAUUCCAAGCUUAUGCCAAUGAGAAUGAGCAAAGUAAAAUCCCUGAUGGGCC